CUCUUCAAGUCGUAGGCCGCAACCUCCAAAAUCUCCAUUAUCAGUUUAUCUCGACUUCUUUCGUUGGUUUUGAUCCCAAUAGGCGGAAGUGCCGCCGCCGAAACUGAAAUUUCCGCAAACCUGUUGUCUGAGUGGCGAUUUCUGAUCAGGUGAAUUUCUUGCAAACAUGGUUACAGUUACUACAUAUGAGAUCUUGGUUACACGUAUUUUUGAAGGUUGUGAGAUCAACUGAUAUGAAGGAAUUUUGACUUGGUAAAGGCAUGGACUUAAAAAGACACAUGGAUAAGGAAGCUUUGAAGUGCAUUGGCGUUUUUGUAAAUCUCAAGGGAACAAUAUCAUUACGA